GAUGAACGCUGGCGGCGUGCUUAACACAUGCAAGUCGAACGGAGUGCCUUUGAAAGAGGAUUCGUCCAAUUGAUAAGGUUACUUAGUGGCGAACGGGUGAGUAACGCGUGAGGAACCUGCCUUUCAGUGGGGGACAACAGUUGGAAACGACUGCUAAUACCGCAUGACGCUUCUUGGGGGCAUCCCCGAGAAGUCAAAGCUUUAUGUGCUGAAAGAUGGCCUCGCGUCUGAUUAGCUAGUUGGUGGGGUAACGGCCCACCAAGGCGACGAUCAGUAGCCGGUCUGAGAGGAUGAACGGCCACAUUGGGACUGAGAUACGGCCCAG
rnacentral:rRNA from 1 species